UACGUAGGGUGCAAGCGUUAAUCGGAAUUACUGGGCGUAAAGCGUGCGCAGGCGGUUGUGCAAGACCGAUGUGAAAUCCCCGGGCUUAACCUGGGAACGGCAUUGGUGACUGCACGGCUAGAGUGUGUCAGAGGGGGGUAGAAUUCCACGUGUAGCAGUGAAAUGCGUAGAGAUGUGGAGGAAUACCGAUGGCGAAGGCAGCCCCCUGGGAUAACACUGACGCUCAUGCACGAAAGCGUGGGGAGCAAACAGG
rnacentral:rRNA from 1 species